CCGGCACGGGUGAGUAACACGUACCCAACCUGCCGUCUACUCUUGGACAGCCUUCUGAAAGGAAGAUUAAUACAAGAUGGCAUCAUGAGUCCGCAUGUUCACAUGAUUAAAGGUAUUCCGGUAGACGAUGGGGAUGCGUUCCAUUAGAUAGUAGGCGGGGUAACGGCCCACCUAGUCUUCGAUGGAUAGGGGUUCUGAGAGGAAGGUCCCCCACAUUGGAACUGAGACACGGUCCAA
rnacentral:rRNA from 1 species